rnacentral:rRNA from 1 species
AUUGAACGCUGGCGGCAGGCCUAACACAUGCAAGUCGAGCGGAUGAACGGAGCUUGCUCCUGGAUUCAGCGGCGGACGGGUGAGUAAUGCCUAUGAAUCUGCCUGGUAGUGGGGGAUAACGUCCGGAAGCGGGCGCUAAUACCGCAUACGUCCUGAGGGAGAAAGAGGGGGAUCUUCGGACCUCUCGCUAUCAUAUGAGCCUAGGUCGGAUUAGCUAGUUUGUGGGGUAAAGACCUACCAAGGCGACGAUCCGUAACUGGUCUGAGAGGAUGAUCAGUCACAUUGGAAGUGAGACACGGUCCAGACUCCUACGGGAGGCAGCAGUGGGGAAUAUUGGACAAUGGGCGAAAGCCUGAUCCAGCCAUGCCGCGUGUGUGAAGAAGGUCUUCGGAUUGUAAAGAACUUUAAGUUGGGAGGAAGGGCAGUAAGUUAAUACCUUGCUGUUUUGACGUUACCAACAGAAUAAGCACCGGCUAACUUCGUG